AUUGAACGCUGGCGGCAGGCCUAGCACAUGCAAGUCGAGCGGAUGAAGGGAGCUUGCUCCUGGAUUCAGCGGCGGGCGGGUGAGUAAUGCCUAGGAAUCUGCCUGGUAGUGGGGGAUAACGUCCGGAAACGGGCGCUAAUACCGCAUACGUCCUGAGGGAGAAAGUGGGGGAUCUUCGGACCUCACGCUAUCAGAUGAGCCUAGGUCGGAUUAGCUAGUUGGUGGGGUAAAGGCCUACCAAGGCGACGAUCCGUAACUGGUCUGAGAGGAUGAUCAGUCACACUGGAACUGAGACACGGUCCAGACUCCUACGGGAGGCAGCAGUGGGGAAUAUUGGACAAUGGGCGAAAGCCUGAUCCAGCCAUGCCGCGUGUGUGAAGAAGGUCUUCGGAUUGUAAAGCACUUUAAGUUGGGAGGAAGGGCAGUAAGUUAAUACCUUGCUGUUUUGACGUUACCAACAGAAUAAGCACCGGCUAACUUCGUG
rnacentral:rRNA from 1 species